rnacentral:rRNA from 1 species
CCUACGGGAGGCAGCAGUGGGGAAUAUUGGACAAUGGGGGAAACCCUGAUCCAGCCAUGCCGCGUGUGUGAAGAAGGUCUUAGGAUUGUAAAGCACUUUAAGUUGGGAGGAAGGGCAGUUAACUAAUAUUUGACUGUUUUGACGUUACCGACAGAAUAAGCACCGGCUAACUUCGUGCCAGCAGCCGCGGUAAU